rnacentral:lncRNA from 1 species
GGAAUUACAGGAAUAUAACGAAAAUAUGGUGAUCAAUUUUAUAAAAUUUAUACGAUAAAUUAGCUGAAAAAGAAGAAGAAAAAGAGCCAAUUAUCAAUAUAAUUCAACAGAAACAUAGCCAAUUAUCUUAUCAUUUACUACUUAAAAUUAACAAACCGAUAAUUAUUGAUUCAUUUGGGUUCACUAUUUGAUGUUAAAAACGAAAAAAAAAAAAUCAGAAGAUUGCAAUAUUAUUUAAUUCAUUAUGUAGUUUAAAGUUUGAAUUAAAAAACCAAACAAAACCCUACCAAUCUCUAGACUGUCUUAAUUACCAGAAGAAGAGGACUCUCGUUAAAUAUAAUUUCUCCC